rnacentral:lncRNA from 1 species
CAGUUGCGUCGCUUUGGUGUUGACACAAUUUCCAUUGAGGUGUUCUCAAUUUAAUUUGAACCAGUUUUUGACCUAAAUUAACAACUCAUAUUAAAGUAGAUGAUAUGAUUGCAAAAAAGAAAUACAAUUUAACCUUGAAAAUAUAGUAUCAUUUACCUCAAAGAUUUAGAUGAUGUAGUCUUUGAUGAUGUUGACUUCACCACAUCUACUUCACUUGGGUUGCUAGUUGGACAUGGAAGACCUAGUGAUGGUUGAGUACCUUUAAUUGCUUGAAUAUUACUGUCACCACUCCUUGCUGCAGCUUUGGACUUGUUUCUUUUUUCCUACAUGAGCAAAAGAACAUUAGUAUUGCUAUAUGCAUGAUAAUUGUAAACAAAAUUACAGUUUUACCUUCUUUCUUUUGCGACAUCAGCAUUAGCUUCUUUUGCAUCU